rnacentral:rRNA from 1 species
GACGAACGCUGGCGGCGUGCUUAACACAUGCAAGUCGAACGGAAAGGCCCUGCUUGCCGGGUACUCGAGUGGCGAACGGGUGAGUAACACGUGGGUGAUCUGCCCUGCACUUCGGGAUAAGCUUGGGAAACUGGGUCUAAUACCGGAUAGGAGCCAUCUUUAGUGUGGUGGUUGGAAAGUUUUUUCGGUGUAGGAUGAGCUCGCGGCCUAUCAGCUUGUUGGUGGGGUAAUGGCCUACCAAGGCAGCGACGGGUAGCCGGCCUGAGAGGGUGUACGGCCACAGUGGGACUGAGAUACGGCCCAGACUCCUACGGGAGGCAGCAGUGGGGAAUAUUGCACAAUGGGCGCAAGCCUGAUGCAGCGACGCCGCGUGGGGGAUGAAGGCCUUCGGGUUGUAAACUCCUUUCGCUAGGGACGAAGCUUUUUGUGACGGUACCUAGAGAAGAAGCACCGGCUAACUACGUG